GUCAGCCCCAGCCCUGGUCCCGGAAUUCGACCGUCUCCUCUUCCUCCACCCUACGAUCCCUAUUCAACCGCAGCAGACUUGGGGAAAAGACAAAGGUCACUAGGUGAUGAAGAUUCUGUUCGUUUAAAAGAAAUUGGACAGAUUGGCUUUGCUGCUUUUCCGGAAGAGAACUUUGCCUCGCUAGGACAGAGACUCUGACCAAGGACGUCUAAAGGUUUCGGCUGCCAAGAUCGACUAACAACGGGUAAAAGGUGGCCUGAGGUGACAGAGGUCGCUAAUGAAUGUCAGCAGAAGAAAGGAACUCGUCUGACCCGAUUGACACACCAACACACCUGCAAGACCCAAAUCAAGCAGCCAGUUGGGAUAAUCGCGGGCCUACGGUUCUACAGCGGAUUGACCUGUUUAGCACGGAUCUGCUCUCCAAAUUCUGACUAAGCAUCUGCCCUGCAGUCAUCCAUUGUCACCUCUUUGCUCGAAUGACUUCUGACAACAAAAAGACAUGACAAGUUAAAUGUUUUACAGUAAGCUCCAAGAAUAAUGGAGCUCAGCAUACUCUCUUUUUUUGUAUUUAUUUAUUAGUCUUCCUCAGUUUCCCUCCUCUCCACCUGCCACAGCUGUACCACAUUUCCUAUGAUUAGUUCAUUGUCAUUUUCCACCUCUGCCUCCUGGAUUUUCAUUGUUUUUCAUGUUCUUCUGUAAAAAUCUCUCUUCACUAUCUGCAUUGAUCUUCCUGCUUUUAUGUGCCACUUUUUUCCUAGCACAGAUUUAUGAAUUUUCAUUAACAUUCUCCAAUUUGGAUUACAGUUUUCUCUUAAUUUAGGUCUUUUCUAACCACAAAUUAUAACAGGGGUUUGCUGGACGUCAAUACAGAGUUAUGAAACUGUGUCCUCUGCCAGAUUUCUCUCCUUCCAGCCACAAAGCACAUAUAAACCCCACCAAAACAACCCUGUCUCAUUACCAGCACAUCAAGAAAACGUAGAGUUGCCAACUGUAAACUUUUCCCCUCUCUGACCAGCUGCAUCCGUUGGAUUGACUUAGUUAUUUUCUUCGCUGCUGUAAGUAAAAGUUACCACAAAUCAGCCACAGGCUGGAAAUAUGCAAACGAAAUCUGUUUAAUGAUCAGGAAGCUGACGAAAUAUACAGCAGAUGCGGUGUCCAAAACACUCAAAAAUAUUUUCAUACUGUUUCUGAGAUUUAAAAAUAUUCUUUUCUUUUUCUUGAUUGUGUUGAGUGACACCUCCCUCUUUGAAUUUCUGUCACUGUAAGACAGUCAGAGUGGGACAUCCCACUCUUAUGCAGGGUCCCUUUUUUUUAAUUUACUAUUUUUCAGUGUUAUUUAAGUGAUGUGAGAACAA